AGCAGCCGCGGUAAUUCCAGCUCCAAUAGCGUAUAUUAAAGUUGUUGCAGUUAAAAAGCUCGUAGUUGAAUUUCGGGAUCAGUAGGUUGGUCAUGCCUCUGGUAUGUACUGGUCUCACUGGUUCCUCCUUCCUGAUGAACCGUAAUGCCAUUAAUUUGGUGUUGCGGGGAGACUGGACUGUUACUUUGAAAAAAUUAGAGUGUUUAAAGCAGGCUUACGCUUGAAUACAUUAGCAUGGAAUAAUGAAAUAGGACGAUCGAUCCUAUUUUGUUGGUUUCUAGGAUUGACGUAAUGAUUAAUAGGGAUAGUUGGGGGCAUUAGUAUUCAAUUGUCAGAGGUGAAAUUCUUGGAUUUAUUGAAGACUAACUACUGCGAAAGCAUUUGCCAAGGAUGUUUUCAUUAAUCAAGAACGAAAGUUAGGGGAUCGAAGACGAUCAGAUACCGUCGUAG
rnacentral:rRNA from 1 species